AGGACCGAAAUUACCACUGUACUUCAGAUAAACGUAUAAAGGGUUCUCAUCAAGAACUCUACCUAUUGUAUUAUAGUUUUAUUUCAAAGAAGCUCAAGGGUCGAAAUUAAAAUUUAAAAAAAUAAUUCAAAUUUUAUAAUUAUGAUUUUCUCUGUAAUCACUAAUCAGUUAUUUUGUACACAUUACAUUAAUAUUUCCUUUAAUUUUAAAGGUCACAUUUUUCUAAACAAUUGCAUCAAUAUAAAAGAAUGUUUUAAUUUUUGUUUAUUGGAAACCAAUUUGAUUAUUAUCUCAUGGUUAAACUUACCACUGCCUCCCUAUAAUUAAAUCAUAAUAAUCUGUAAUUUGUUACUCCUAUAUAAAUCCUCUUUUCUCCAAGCACCAACAGUUCACACGGCAGCAAUGAGACAUAUCGGACCUUUAAUAUUUUUUUCUAUUCUGACUUUCGUCAACUCUAAACCUCAGUCUCCGCCACCCGAAGAUGUAAAAGAUCAAGGAAAUGUUAUUAAAGGAACGUACUCUAUAAUUGACCCAAAUGGUAAUAAACGAAUUGUUCAUUACACCACCGAUGGUCGGAAUGGUUUUAGUGCCGUAGUUGAAGAUGAAGCGAAAAACAAUGAAACCGAACCGGUACCUCCACCAAAUGAUAAAAAAGACGACCAGAAAAAAGAUAAACAAGUACCCAAAAUACAGUUUAUUCCAGUGCCCGUUUAUCAACCACAAGCACCGCAAGUUUCCACACGUGGAAAUUUUUACGGCACACCUUAUUACCCAAACAGUGGAUAUUAUUCCAACCCGUAUCGGACUCCAUACGGAUAUCCUGCUCGAUAUUAUUAUUGAUUUAUUAAUAAAAACGAGUUAGAAAAUGAA